rnacentral:piRNA from 1 species
CAGAAAACAAUGGGCUGGAGU